UACGUAGGGUGCAAGCGUUAAUCGGAAUGACUGGGCGUAAAGGGUGCGCAGGCGGUUUGUUAAGAUGGAUGUGAAAGCCCUAGGCUCAACCUGGGAAUGGCAUACGUGACUGACAAACUAGAAUAUGGCAGAGGGAGGCGGAAUUCCAUGUGUAGCAGUGAAAUGCGUAGAGAUGUGGAGGAACACCGAUGGCGAAGGCAGCCCCCUGGGCUAACACUGACGCUCAUGCACGAAAGCGUGGGGAGCAAACAGG
rnacentral:rRNA from 1 species